rnacentral:rRNA from 1 species
UACGGAGGGAGCUAGCGUUAUUCGGAAUUACUGGGCGUAAAGCGCACGUAGGCGGCUUUGUAAGUAAGAGGUGAAAGCCCAGAGCUCAACUCUGGAAUUGCCUUUUAGACUGCAUCGCUCGAAUCAUGGAGAGGUCAGUGGAAUUCCGAGUGUAGAGGUGAAAUUCGUAGAUAUUCGGAAGAACACCAGUGGCGAAGGCGGCUGACUGGACAUGUAUUGACGCUGAGGUGCGAAAGCGUGGGGAGCAAACAGG